AAUGAACGCUGGCGGCGUGCUUAACACAUGCAAGUCGAACGAGAACUCUUCUGCUUGCAGAAGAUAGUAAAGUGGCGUACGGGUGAGUAACGCGUGGGUAAUCUGCCUUCAAAUCAGGAAUAACAUUGCGAAAGCGAUGCUAAUACCGGAUAAUGUCUGUUGGAUUUAGGUCCAUAAGAUUAAAGGUGGCCGCUAUAUAUAAGCUACUGUUUGGAGAUGAGCCCGCGUACCAUUAGCUGGUUGGUAGGGUAAUGGCCUACCAAGGCUACGAUGGUUAGCUGGUCUGAGAGGAUGAUCAGCCACACUGGAACUGACACACGGUCCAGACUCCUACGGGUGGCAG
rnacentral:rRNA from 1 species